rnacentral:rRNA from 1 species
UACGAAGGUUGCAAGCGUUGUUCGGAAUCACUGGGCUUAAAGAGCAUGUAGGCGGUUCGACAAGUGCCUUGUGAAAUCCCCCGGCUCAACCGGGGAAUUGCUCGGUAGACUGUCGAACUUGAGGCAGGUAGGGGCGCGUGGAACUCUUGGUGGAGCGGUGGAAUGCGUAGAUAUCAAGAGGAACGCCGGUGGCGAAAGCGGCGCGCUGGGCCUGUCCUGACGCUGAGGCGCGAAAGCGUGGGUAGCAAACGGG